rnacentral:rRNA from 1 species
AGUCAAUCUAACCUAUGGACGGGGAUAACCUCGGGAAACUGAGAAUAAUACCCGAUAGAUCAUUAUGCCUGGAAUGGUUUAUGGUCGAAAUGAUUUAUCGCCGUAGGAUGGGACUGCGUUCUAUCAGCUUGUUGGUGAGGUAAUGGCCCACCAAGGCUAUAACAGAUACGGGCUCUGAGAGGAGAAGCCCGGAGAUGGGUACUGAGACACGGACCCAGGCCCUAUGGGGCGCAGCAGGCGAGAAAACUUUGCAAUGUGCGAAAGCACGACAAGGUUAAUCCGAGUGUUUUCUGCUAAAGAAAUCUUUUGUCAGUCCUAAAAACACUGAUGAAUAAGGGGUGGGCAAGUUCUGGUGUCAGCCGCCGCGGUAAAACCAGCACCUCAAGUGGUCAGGAUGAUUAUUGGGCCUAAAGCAUCCGUAGCCGGCUCUGUAAGUUUUCGGUUAAAUCUGUACGCUCAACGUACAGGCUGCCGGGAAUACUGCAGAGCUAGGGAGUGGGAGAGGUAGACGGUACUCGGUAGGAAGGGGUAAAAUCCUUUGAUCUAUUGAUGACCACCUGUGGCGAAGGCGGUCUACCAGAACACGUCCGACGGUGAGGGAUGAAAGCUGGGGGAGCAAACCGGAUUAGAUACCCGGGUAGUCCCAGCUGUAAACUAUGCAAACUCAGUGAUGCAUUGGCUUGUGGCCAAUGCAGUGCU